rnacentral:rRNA from 1 species
AAUCUGGCGGGUUCCCCGUCCGAGUUGUAAUUUGAAGAAGGAUACUUUGGUACUGGCUCUUGUCUAUGUUCCUUGGAACAGGACGUCACAGAGGGUGAGAAUCCCGUGCGAUGAGAUGCCCAGUUCCGUGUAAAGUUCCUUCGAAGAGUCGAGUUGUUUGGGAAUGCAGCUCUAAGUGGGUGGUAAAUUCCAUCUAAAGCUAAAUAUUGGCGAGAGACCGAUAGCGAACAAGUACAGUGAUGGAAAGAUGAAAAGAACUUUGAAAAGAGAGUGAAAAAGUACGUGAAAUUGUUGAAAGGGAAGGGCUUGAGAUCAGACUUGGUAUUUGGAAUGAAACUCUUUCGAGAGUCUCCGCUUCUGCUUACCGGGCCAGCAUCGGUUUGGGGAGAAGGAUAACCGCAAAGGAACGUGGCACCACUCGUGGUGUGUUAUAGCCUUUG